rnacentral:rRNA from 1 species
AGGCUGUCUAGCAUGCGAGUCUUUGUAGUAUACAAGGCAUACGGCUCAGUAACGCGUAGUCAACCUACCCUAUGGACAAGAAUAAUCUCGGGAAACUGAGCAUAAUUCUUGAUAGAUCAUAAUGCCUGGAAUGGUAUAUGGUUAAAAUGAUUCGUCGCCAUAGGAUGGGACUGCGGCCUAUCAGCUUGUUGGUGAGGUAAUGGCCCACCAAGGCGAUAACAGGUACGGGCUCUGAGAGGAGAAGCCCGGAGAUGGGUACUGAGACAAGGACCCAGGCCCUAUGGGGCGCAGCAGGCGAGAAAACUUUGCAAUGUGCGAAAGCACGACAAGGUUAGUCCGAGUGAUUUCUGCUAAAGAGAUCUUUUGCUAGUUAUAAAACCACUAGUGAAUAAGGGGUGGGCAAGUUCUGGUGUCAGCCGCCGCGGUAAAACCAGCACCUCAAGUGGUCAGGAUGAUUAUUGGGCCUAAAGCAUCCGUAGCCGGCUCUGUAAGUUUUCGGUUAAAUCCAUACGCUCAACGUAUGGGCUGCCGAAAAUACUGCAGAGAUAGGGAGUGGGAGAGGUAGACGGUACUCGGUAGGAAGGGGUAAAAUCCUUUGAUCUAUCGAUGACCACCUGUGGCGAAGGCGGUCUACCAGAACACGUUCGACGGUGAGGGAUGAAAGCUGGGGGAGCAAACCGGGAUUAGAUACCCGGGGUAGUCCCAGCUGUAAACGAUGCAGACUUCGAAUGAAUGCAAUGGCAUAAUAGCCCAGUGCAGUGAUCGCCAAGGGUAAGGU